GGUGAGCUAUCCAUGGCCAGGGUGAAGCGUGGGUAAAGCCACGUGGAGGCCCGAACCCGUUGCUGUGAAAAAGCAUGGGAUGAGCUGUGGAUAGGGGUGAAAAGCCAAUCGAACCCGGAGAUAGCUGGUUCUCCCCGAAAUAGCUUUAGGGCUAGCCUCGGAGUAAGGGCGGUGGAGGUAGAGCACUGAUUGGGCUAGGGGUCCUACAAGAUUACUGAACCCAUUCAAACUCCGAAUGCCACCGUUACCAUCUCCGGGAGUCAGACUGCGGGUGCUAAGAUUCGUAGUCGAGAGGGAAAGAGCCCAGACCGCCGUCUAAGGUCCCUAAGUACAGGCUAAGUGGUAAAGGAAGUGGGAUUCCCAAAACAGCCAGGAUGUUGGCUUAGAAGCAGCCAUCAUUUAAAGAGUGCGUAAUAGCUCACUGGCCGAGGGAUUCUGCACCGAAAAUACACGGGGCUUAAGCCUGUCACCGAAGGCGCGGAAUUGGCCGAUGGCCAAUUGGUAGGGGAGCGUUCUGCACCUGCAGAAGUCAGACCGAAAGGACUGGUGGAGGGUGCGGAAGUGAGAAUGCCGGUAUGAGUAGCGAAAAGACAGGUGAGAAUCCUGUCCGCCGAAAGCCUAAGGUUUCCUGGGCAAGGCUCGUCCGCUCAGGGUUAGUCGGGACCUAAGCCGAGGCCGAAAGGCGUAGGCGAUGGACAACCGGUUGAUAUUCCGGUACCGCCGCAUAGAGCGAAGGGGUGACGCAGGUCGGAGGGUCUGGCCGGGCGUUGGUAGACCCGGUCUAAACCUGUAGGAAGCCCCCGCAGGCAAAUCCGUGGGGGAGUUCUGAAGGGUGAAUGCGAGGGAAAGUAAAGUACCGAAGCAGGCCUGUCCCAUACUGCCGAGAAAAACCUCUAGCGCAUCUUCGGGAUGCAAUCUAUGUGGCGCCCGUACCGCAAACCGACACAGGUAGGCGGGGAGAGAAUCCUAAGGCGCGCGGGAUAACCCUCGUUAAGGAACUCGGCAAAAUGACCCCGUAACUUUGGGAGAAGGGGUGCCUCCGCGAGGAGGCCGCAGAGAAACGGCCCAAGCGACUGUUUACCAAAAACACAGGUCUCUGCAAAGCCGAAAGGCGAAGUAUAGGGGCUGACGCCUGCCCAGUGCCGGAAGGUUAAGGGGACGGGUUAGCGCAAGCGAAGCUCUGAACCGAAGCCCCGGUGAACGGCGGCCGUAACUAUAACGGUCCUAAGGUAGCGAAAUUCCUAGUCGGGUAAAUUCCGACCCGCACGAAUGGCGUAACGACUUGGGCGCUGUCUCGACGAGGGACCCGGUGAAAUUGUAGUACCUGUGAAGAUGCAGGUUACCUGCGACAGGACGGCAAGACCCCGUGGAGCUUUACUGCAGCCUGAUAUAGAAUUUUGUUGCUUCAUGUAGAGGAUAGGUGGGAGGCAGGGAACUACCCUCGUCAGGGGGUAGGGAGCCAACCUUGGAAUACCACCCUUGGAGUAACGGAAUUCUAACCUAGGGCCCGAGACGGGUCCGGGGACGGUGUCAGGUGGGCAGUUUGACUGGGGCGGUCGCCUCCUAAAAGGUAACGGAGGCGCCCAAAGGUUCCCUCAACGCGGUUGGAAAUCGCGUGUGGAGUGCAAAGGCACAAGGGAGCUUGACUGUGAGAGAGACAUCUCGAGCAGGGACGAAAGUCGGGCUUAGUGACCUGGUGGUUCCGAGUGGAAGGGCCAUCAAUUAACGGAUAA
rnacentral:rRNA from 1 species